CUUGGUCAUUUAGAGGAAGUAAAAGUCGUAACUAAGGUUUCCGUAGGUGAACUCUGCGGAAGGAUCAUUACCGAGUGAGGGCCCUCUGGGUCUCAAUCUCCUCACCCGUGUUUAUUUUACCUUGUUGCUUCGGCGGGCCCGCCUUAACUGGCCGCCGGGGGGCUUACGCCCCCGGGCCCGCGCCCGCCGAAGACACCCUCGAACUCUGUCUGAAGAUUGUAGUCUGAGUGAAAAUAUAAAUUAUUUAAAACUUUCAACAACGGAUCUCUUGGUUCCGGCAUCGAUGAAGAACGCAGCGAAAUGCGAUACGUAAUGUGAAUUGCAAAUUCAGUGAAUCAUCGAGUCUUUGAACGCACAUUGCGCCCCCUGGUAUUCCGGGGGGCAUGCCUGUCCGAGCGUCAUUUCUGCCCUCAAGCACGGCUUGUGUGUUGGGCCCCGUCCUCCGAUCCCGGGGGACGGGCCCGAAAGGCAGCGGCGGCACCGCGUCCGGUCCUCGAGCGUAUGGGGCUUUGUCACCCGCUCUGUAGGCCCGGCCGGCGCUUGCCGAUCAACCCAAAUUUUUAUCCAGGUUGACCUCGGAUCAGGUAGGGAUACCCGCUGAACUUAAGCAUAUCAAUAAGCGGAGGA
rnacentral:rRNA from 1 species